ensembl:lncRNA
GUGACAUUGCAACAUACAUAUAUAUAAAUGUGUGUGUGUGUGUGUGUGUGUUGAUUUAGAAAGAGUAGGUCUGAGAAGAGGAGGUCAUGUCAUCAUCAGUACACAAACACUAAUUAAUAAACCCCACUUUUACCUUUACACAUAAGCAGUGUUUUAUUAGAUCUAUGUUCAUUAUGAACGCAGUUUUUGUUGUUUAAUCUCUACUGUUAAUACUACUAAUGUCCUCCUAAUAUUCCUUCGUGCCCAUUUAAUAGUUUAGCAUUCAUUGUGAAAUGCCGCCAUCUAAUGACAACACAUGCAGCUGCCUGUUACUCAUCUAUCAUAUCUAUGUGUUUUUGAUUUGCAACAUAAUAAAAGUUAUUUUAUUAUUUAGUUAUUUUUCAAACUUUAUCGUUCACCGUUUAAUGAUACUUUAUGUAUUUGAAAUUUCCCCAAAACCGAAAGAACUGUAGUCGUGUUGUCAUUCGUUUGAGUAAUUUUAAUAGUAACGAUUAAUUAAAUUAAUAAAGACCAAAAUGAUUUAGUGUUAAUACAACUGAAAAAAAUAAGUGUAAAAUUGUUUCUGACUCUUCUUAACAGAAAUCCAGAAACAACAUCUGUUUCCAUAGUUGUAUAAGAAACUAAUGUCGGAUCCAAUCCUCAAUGUAAAUCAAAAUCUUAAACCUAAUUGUAUAUCUUUGCAUAACAUUUGGAUAUUACCAUAUAAAUAUGUUAUUUAUAAUCAGGUAAAAGAAGUAGCCAAAAUUACAAAAUUAUUCACAGAUGUUAUCCUGAAAAUGCAGCUGUUAGCAGAUAUAUUCAUAGUGUUUGUGAUAAAUGUAACAUAUUAGUUGAAGAUAUUGAACAUUAACUUUUCUAUUGCCCUUUUUCUAUUUAUUUUGUGUUUUGGGACUUUAAAAUAGACAAAACAAAAUAAAUAAAUAAAUAAAUAAACAAAGCCCUUAAUUUAGAACCUCAUAAUAUUUUACUUUGUUUUCAAGGCCAUAUAUAUACGUUUAUAUUAAUUUGAUGUUUUUUGUUGUUGUUGUUGUUCUGUUUUACAUGCUUUAAACUGUACAACAUUGCCUUUUAUUUGCAUUGUACUUUUGGCCUUGUAUUUAUAUGUGAUGGAACUGAAAAAAAAACACGUUUCCACACU